rnacentral:tRNA from 1 species
GGGGUUGUGGCUCAGUGGUAGAGUGCUUGCCUAGCAUGUAUGAGGCACUGGGUUCGAUCCUCAGCACCACA